rnacentral:misc_RNA from 1 species
GGAAUCCCCGCCAAUCAGCAGUGGAAUCCUCCACCUUCAACAACCACUUUACUUUUUGACCCUUCAAACAGAAUCUAAUCUUUUGAGGCCCUUCGCCUCUGACAAAGUGCAUGCACCAACACAGCUAAGCACCUACCUUCUCCACCACCGCCACCGCCACCGCCACCGUCACAGCUACAAUCUGCAACUCCCCACGCACCAAACCCUAACCCUAACCCUAGUCCGAAUACGUACCCUGUUAUAUCAGCACCGGCACACGCCUUCCCAUCCUACGCGCUUCCUAUUUCCGGCGCUUCUGUGCCUCCCGUGGCCCAGUCGUUCUGUCCAGUUCCGCAAUUCUCUCCGCUGCCGAACUAUCAAAUCCCUAGUGUUGGAGUGCAGCCUCCUGGUGUGAGUGCACCGUCAGUUAUGGCAUCUGGUGCGCCAGGAGCGGUUCCGAUGCCUACUCCCAUGAUGCCGUAUCAAGUUCCGCCAGGUCAGCCUACAAAUCCGGCUUUGAGACGGUACGCGCCUAUUACAAAUGGUUAUGGUGUCAUGCCGGGAGCUGCUUCUCAAGGGACUGUGCCACCUCCUGGUGGGUUAUUCCUUUCCUUAUUCCUUCUCGCUUUCUCCUUUACCUAUCGAUUUUCUUUAAGCAUGUAGAUUUAUAUACAUAAUAUAUUUAUCUUUUGAAUAUCUUUGUUUAAGAAGCGUUGUCUAUUACUAUUAGUACUACUUUUGGCUAUUGUUUGUUGCUGAAUGAGCAUAUGAACUGAUAGGCAACUAGUUAUCAUUUUCGUCGGUGAGAAAUUUCUACUUCUAACUUGUGGAUGGUAGACAUAGAUAAAUCGUGUUAAUUUUAUGAUUUGGUGGGGAAGAGUGUGUUAAAGAGGGGUGUGGAUGAAUUUAGAAAAAGGGGCAUCGAUGACAGGAUGUUUUCUCCUACAGUGUCUUGAUUGAAUUCGGUGAGAGAAAGGUUGGAAGGCUUCAUAUUGCUUAAGAGAGUAUCACCUUCUACAACUCCUGUUUUGGUAUGCACGUAUUUGCUUGGUUUCCUUUGAUUGUAUUUAUAAUAAACAAUGUAAUUGAAAAAUUCUUUUACUGCACAAAAAUAGCAUCUGGAGUUUACAAAUUAAAGAAUACAGCAUAAUCCAUAUCCUUCUAAAUUACAUCUGGUUAUGCCAUGUUUAUUUUAGUAGGCUACUUUCUGGUAGUUAUAAGGAUUCUGUCCCUUUCAUGGGUCUAUGAAUUGCCAGCAGCAGACCAUGUUAGCAACUGAGUGCUCCUUGGCUUGUAUUCUAAGGUAUCACAAUUCUUCCAAUCAAAGUCUAUCUUUCUUCCCCCCCUCUUUCUUGUAUUUCUUUAUUUUGUUUUCAUGCUGUGCGUUUGACCACUAAUGGUUGAAAUAAAUUAAAAAUGGCAAACGUAAACUAGUCUAGUUUGUAUUGUUAAAUCCUUUAAAGCAUGAGAUGUUCCAAAUCUCAUGUUGCUCAAUGUCAAAAUUCUGCAAUCGGUGCAUGGGAUUGUUUGAAAAGGCUACUAUUUUGCAAGUGGAUGCAUGAGGUAAGCCCACUUCACAUAUCUAUGUUUAUGAACUCUAUCCCUUUUCUUUUUUUAUUACUGUUCCCUCAGGUUAUCUGUUCAGCUGGUGUGCUUGAUGCGUAUGGUGCCAUCUCUAAUUUGCUUUUGUUGUGUGGUAACAGCAUUUAAUUUUUUUUUUAUUGUCUGAAUUCUUCUUCGCAUAUGCAUGCUGGUGGGGACAACAGUUAUUUCUGUAUUUAGUUUGUGGACCUGUUUUGACAUGUCUGCAAAGAUUUUGUUUUUUGUUUUUGCAGGAAUUCAACGAUAUCCCUCUCCAUAUCCAGCUAUGGUUCGGCCCAUGUUUCCUCCUUGUCCACCUGGAGCAAUUGGUGUGCUUCCAGCAGCAUCCCGCCCUCUUGUUCCAGGAAUUCCAGGUGUUCGUCCAAUUAUUCCCCCCAUCAUUAGGCCAGCUGUUCCUUCUAUCACACCGGCAGAGAAACCACAAACCACUGUUUACGUUGGCAAGAUAGAACCUACUGUGGAGAAUGAUUUUAUGCUUUCUGUUCUUCGGUUCUGUGGACCUGUCAAGAGUUGGAAACGUGCUCAAGACCCCAGUGAUGGAACUCCAAAACGCUUUGGGUUUUGUGAAUUUGAAUCUGCUGAAGGAGUUCUCCGUGCAUUACGUCUCCUGAGUAAAUUUAAUAUUGAUGGGCAAGAACUGGUGCUAAAUGUAAAUCAAGCAACAAGAGAAUAUUUGGAGCGGUAUGUUGAAAAGAAAACUGAAAACUCCAAGAAUCUCAAAGAAAAUCAAGCUGGAAGGAUUGACAAGGAGGAUGGAACAGCCCUAGGUGUUGAAAAGAAUGAACCUUCAAAAUCCACUGAGGAGGACUCUAACAUUGACAAGGAGAAGGGGAACAAAGAAAGUCAUGAUCUUGCCAACUUUGGGAUUGUAACUGAUGAAGACAAGGAAGCUGACAAAGAAGCUUUGGAGAAACUUACUAGCAUGAUAGAAGAAAGGUUGAAAACCAAACCUUUGCCUCCACCACCUCCACAAACACCUGGGAAUACGAACUCAGAACUGCCAGCUAAGUCAAGGGAUGGGGACUCUGAUGCAGAUAUAGCGAGACAAGACACAGCUGAAGAUAAAAUUGAUGAUGAGACAACAAGUGACAAUAAAGCAGCAAGUGAACAGGAUAGACCUGAAACAAGCUCACCUGAUAGGAGUAGAAAGUAUGACAGGAGAAGUAGAGACCGAGACCGAGAUCUAAAACGGGAAAAGGAACGAGAAAUUGAAAGAUAUGAAAGGGAAGCAGAGCGAGAGCGAAUUAGGAAGGAGAGGGAGCAGAGAAGGAAGAUUGAGGAGGCAGAGCGUGAGUUUGAGGAGCGGCUGAAAGAUUGGGAAUAUAGGGAGAGAGAGAAAGAGAAACAGCGGCAGUAUGAGAAAGAGAAGGAGAAAGAAAGAGAACGCAAAAGGAGGAAGGAGAUUCUUUAUGAUGAAGAGGGUGAUGAUGAUGAUUCAAGAAAAAGGUGGAAUAGGAGUAUCUUGGAGGAGAAGAGAAGGAAGAGACUACGGGAGGAGGAGGAAGACAUGGCUGACAGACUCAAAGAAGAGGAGGAAAUUGCUGAGGCCAAGAGGAGGGCUGAGGAGGAAAGUUUGCAGCAGCAACAAAGAGAUGCAUUAAAGCUUUUGUCUUGUCAUGUCAUAAAUGGAAGUGAAAAGAAAAUUCUGGCUGAAGAAGCCAUCACUGAAAGCAAAGAUAAGGUUGUUGAACAGGAUAAUGAGGGAGAUUCUGGUAAUGAAAACCGCACAGAUGAUGGGGUUUUACAAAAUGGUACUAUUGAUGAAUCAACCAUGACAUCAAUGACUGAAUCGGAUUUACGGCGAAGUGGUAAUGUGCCUACAAGAAAGUUGGGUUUUGGUUUAGUUGGGUCUGGCAAACGAGCUACCGUUCCUUCAGUUUUCCAUGAAGAAGAUGAUGAUGAUGCACACAAGGAGAAAAAGAUGAGGCCUCUGGUUCCUAUUGAUUAUUCAACAGAGGAGUUGCAGGCAGUUCAACCUACUGUUACAGGAGCACAACCACCAAAUCUUGCUGCUGCUGCAGAAUUUGCAAAACGUAUAUCUAAUGUGACUUCCAAAGAAGAGAAGCCUGAUGUGGAAAGAGAAAGAAGUAGACGUUCUCAUGACAGGUCAAGUCAGCGAGAGAGAGACAGGAAUGAUGAAGAUAUUAAUCGUAUGAAAGAUGAGAAGGAUAAGAUUCUUGAACAGGACAGGAACCGGGAACAUGGGUUGGACAAAGUGAAAACACCAGACAAGCAGAAACUUUUGGAUGCAAAGCAGUUGAUUGAUAUGAUUCCAAAGACCAAGGAUGAGCUAUUCUCAUACGAGAUAAAUUGGGCUGUGUAUGACAAACAUGAGCUUCAUGAGAGAAUGAGACCAUGGAUUUCAAAGAAGAUUACAGAGUUUUUGGGAGAGGAAGAAACCACACUGGUAGAUUACAUUGUAUCAAGUACUCAAGAACAUGUUAAGGCAUCCCAAAUGCUGGAUAUGCUUCAGUCUAUAUUGGAUGAUGAAGCUGAAAUGUUUGUGCUCAAGAUGUGGAGGAUGCUUAUCUUUGAAAUUAAGAAGGUGGAAACGGGUCUUGCUUUGAGGUCAAAAACAUAAAACUAGUUACUCAUUUGUUCCUGGAGUGCUGUGAGAUGGACAUUCUGGUUUCCGAGUAUUGUAGAACAAAGCACAGAUUGCAAUCAAGGUGAAAUUUGACCCGCUCAGCUUUACAUUGGGGAAUCUCCAGAAAGCGUACUCUACAGUCUGCAGGCUGAAGCACAAAUUCAGCUUCAUUCUUCAGUUUUUUAAACCGUAGGCAGUUAGUUAUUUAUCAUUGACUUGUAGAUAUGAUUUUAUCCACAAAUUUCUGGAUGGAUAUGGUCUGCACCCGCAAGUCCUUACUAAAUUGGUAACCUGCACUUCAAACUUUCAAC